rnacentral:lncRNA from 1 species
CACAAAGUUACUAGAUAAUAGUAUCACAAAGUGAUUCAAGAUGGCUAUUAGUAAGCAACAAUAGUAGCUCUAGCUUCUUCGCUUUCAGCCAAGUUGUACAUUGUUGGUGACAAAAAGGGUGGAUACCCAAGCUUGAUAAUCAAAGCUGGGCGUCCAACCUUUUUCACCACCCAAAAAAAAAGUAAGUAAACAGCUUAGGUGGAAACUUAAGUUGCUAGAGAGCUAUCGUGGUCGAAGAAAGAUGAUGCUCCAUGUAUUAGUAGCCAUCUUCGAUAACUUAGUUAUGUGCAUAUAGAUCUAGUUACUUGGUGUCUUUUUUAGGAUUCAAAUGAUAUGAACGGCAUGGCAUCAAAUGUUUGCUGGACCAAGUCUUGAAUUGGGUUGUAUAAUCUGGAGCUUCAAGUAUCCCUUCCUUGCCAUUUCUAUCCAAACAAAUUAGCAACGCUUUCAAUAGAAGACGAUUUCCGAUCAGAUUAGUGUUGGAAAUAAGAGAUAUAAAUAAGUGAUAAAGAUUGAAAAGAUCAGAUAUGAGUAUAACACAUCAUCAUCUAUAUAAGUAGGAGAAUAAUUCAAAUUAGACUAGCUUAAAUACGACAUUGUACCUAUGGUUACUGUUAAAUACUCAACACAUUGUACCUAUAGUUACUUCUGCAUUUGGUUAUUUGAAAGCCUCAUUGUAUCAAAAGACGGCCGCUUCAUUAAGAUUCCGAUAAUUAAUAUUUUUUUUUUUUGACAUUGCGACGCAUUUUUGA